rnacentral:rRNA from 1 species
GAUGAACGCUGGCGGCGUGCCUAAUACAUGCAAGUCGAGCGAACGGACGAGAAGCUUGCUUUUCUGAUGUUAGCGGCGGACGGGUGAGUAACACGUGGAUAACCUACCUAUAAGACUGGGAUAACUUCGGGAAACCGGAGCUAAUACCGGAUAAUAUUUUGAACCGCAUGGUUCAAAAGUGAAAGACGGUCUUGCUGUCACUUAUAGAUGGAUCCGCGCUGCAUUAGCUAGUUGGUAAGGUAACGGCUUACCAAGGCAACGAUGCAUAGCCGACCUGAGAGGGUGUUCGGCCACGCGGGAACUGAGACCCGGUCCAGACCCCCACGGGAGGCAGCAGUGGGGAAUCUUCCGCAAUGGGCGAAAGCCUGACGGAGCAACGCCGCGUGAGUGAUGAAGGUCUUCGGACCGUAAAACUCUUUUUUUAGGGAAGAACAUAUGUGUAAGUAACUUUGACCCCUUUGCCGGUACCUAAUCAGAAAGCCCCGGCUAACUCCGU